rnacentral:rRNA from 1 species
GACGUAGGUGGCGAACGUUAUCCGGAAUUAUUGGGCGUAAAGGGUGCGUAGGUGGCCUGGCAAGUUAUCAGUGGUAAAUCGAGGCCCAACCUUGUGGAAACUGGCAAUACUGCUUGGCUUGAGUGCAGGAGGAUCGCGGAAUUCCCGGUGUAGAGGUGAAAUUCGUAGAUAUCGGGAGGAACACCAGUGGCGAAGGCGGCGAUCUGGGUCGAUACUGACGCUGAGGUGCGAAAGCGUGGGGAGCAAACAGG